rfam:Schistosoma rodhaini strain Burundi genome assembly, scaffold: SROB_scaffold0018015
AUUCAACUGACGAGUCCUAAAUAGGUCGAAACGCACAUCCUGGAU